rnacentral:rRNA from 1 species
ACGAACGCUGGCGGCGUGCCUAAUACAUGCAAGUAGAACGCUGAAGGAGGAGCUUGCUUCUCUGGAUGAGUUGCGAACGGGUGAGUAACGCGUAGGUAACCUGCCUGUUAGCGGGGGAUAACUAUUGGAAACGAUAGCUAAUACCGCAUAAGAGUAGAUGUUGCAUUGCAUUUGCUUAAAAGGUUCAAUUGCAUCGCUAUCAGAUCGACCUUCGUUGUAUUAGCGAUGUGGUGGGGUAACGGCUGACCAAGGCGACGAUACAGAGCCGACCUGAGAGGGUGAUCGGCCAGGCUGGGACGGAGAAACGGCCCAGACUCCUACGGGAGGCAGCAGUAGGGAAUCUUGGGCAAUAGACGGAAGUCUGACCGAGCAACGCCGCGUGAGUGAAGAAGGUUUUCGGAUCGUAAAGCUCUGUUGUAAGGGAAGAACGAGUGUGAGAGUGGAAAGUUCACACUGUGACGGUAUCUUAGCAGAAAGGGACGGCUAACUACGUG